rnacentral:lncRNA from 1 species
AUGGUUUGCCGGGUGGCUUUUGAGAGAUCGUGGGUCUUCUGGAGCGUUGGAGGCCUCGUGGUGGUACCGAAGAAACACCAUGUCGGAAACUUGUCUCCAGUCUCCUGCUGCAGGAGCUGGGGCUUCCUGGGGACCAGACCCAUCUCCCGCGGGUUUCGUACAGCGGAGAGGGCCGCCUCGGCCGAGCUGGGGCGCGCCGGGCAGCCCUGUCUCCGUUUCGGGCUUUUAGAAACGCCCUCGAGUUCUGCCUGCAGGCCUGGAGCCAGCCCAGGAGCCGGUGUCCGCGUGGGAGCCGGCUCUGCGGGCGCCCGUAGUGCUCGGGGCCGCGCUGGGCGUCGGGCACCCGCAGGGCAGGCUCCGGCCGGCCUCGGCAGCGGCGCGGCCCCCAGCUCGCCGCCUCCAAGCGCCUUCCUGGCGUCCCUGCGCCCUGCCGCUGAUCGCCCGCGGCCCGGCCCUUGGGGCCGCUAUUGGUCGUCUUCGCGGGGCGCUUGGGAGCCUGCUGAUAAGCUGCGACGCGCAGGCCGGGACGAGCCGGCGGCGGCCCCGGGCUGCUCCAGCCGGUGCUGCGGGGCGCUGAGGCACCGCGCUGCUGAGUCGCCUCCGGCGCCGCGGCUGGGCCGAGGGGCCGCGCUUCCCCUCCGCGGCCCGGCGCAAGGAGCCUGCCGCCGCUCCGCGGGCCCCGGCCGCGCCGCACUGCGAGGAAGCGAGCUGCAGCGCCGUUUAGCCCAGCUGCCGGAGAGGAGCCCGGCUUCCCUGGCUUCCGGCGCGGGCGGGCUUUGCUCUGUGGGGCAGCUCGUGGCAGGGGCCGGCUGCGUCCCCCCGCGGCUGGGGCGUCUCCGUGCACCAGCGAGCGCAGCUGGGGCCCGGGGCGGUGGCGCCAGGCGGGAGGGGGACGAGGAGCGCGGGGAGGGGAGGAAGGCUCUGCACGGCGGCGGUGGCGGCUGCGGCCACCCAGGACCUCAGGGCAGGGUUAGCUGUCGCGCAGGGUGUGCUGGGGAGCAGCUCGUCCAAAGCAAAUGCUCCACAUGCUUUUUCUCCUGA